GAUGAACGCUGGCGGCGUGCCUAAUACAUGCAAGUCGAGCGAACAGACGAGGAGCUUGCUCCUCUGACGUUAGCGGCGGACGGGUGAGUAACACGUGGAUAACCUACCUAUAAGACUGGGAUAACUUCGGGAAACCGGAGCUAAUACCGGAUAAUAUAUUGAACCGCAUGGUUCAAUAGUGAAAGACGGUUUUGCUGUCACUUAUAGAUGGAUCCGCGCCGCAUUAGCUAGUUGGUAAGGUAACGGCUUACCAAGGCAACGAUGCGUAGCCGACCUGAGAAGGUGAUCGGCCACACUGGAACUGAGACACGGUCCAGACUCCUACGGGAGGCAGCAGUAGGGAAUCUUCCGCAACGGGCGAAAGCCUGACGGAGCAACGCCGCGUGAGUGAUGAAGGUCUUCGGAUCGUAAAACUCUGUUAUUAGGGAAGAACAAAUGUGUAAGUAACUAUGCACGUCUUGACGGUACCUAAUCAGAAAGCCACGGCUAACUACGUG
rnacentral:rRNA from 1 species